rnacentral:rRNA from 1 species
AUUGAACGCUAGCGGGAUGCUUUACACAUGCAAGUCGAACGGCAGCGCGGACUUCGGUCUGGCGGCGAGUGGCGAACGGGUGAGUAAUGUAUCGGAACGUGCCCAGUAGCGGGGGAUAACUACGCGAAAGCGUAGCUAAUACCGCAUACGCCCUACGGGGGAAAGCAGGGGAUCGUAAGACCUUGCACUAUUGGAGCGGCCGAUAUCGGAUUAGCUAGUUGGUGAGGUAACGGCUCACCAAGGCGACGAUCCGUAGCUGGUUUGAGAGGACGACCAGCCACACUGGGACUGAGACACGGCCCAGACUCCUACGGGAGGCAGCAGUGGGGAAUAUUGCACAAUGGGCGGAAGCCUGAUGCAGCAACGCCGCGUGCGGGAUGACGGCCUUCGGGUUGUAAACCGCUUUCGCCUGUGACGAAGCGUGAGUGACGGUAAUGGGUAAAGAAGCACCGGCUAACUACGUG